rnacentral:rRNA from 1 species
GACGUAGGGCGCGAGCGUUGUCCGGAUUUAUUGGGCGUAAAGAGCUCGUAGGCGGCUUGUCGCGUCGUCCGUGAAAACCUGGGGCUCAACCCCAGGCUUGCGGUCGAUACGGGCAGGCUCGAGUUCGGUAGGGGAGACUGGAAUUCCUGGUGUAGCGGUGAAAUGCGCAGAUAUCAGGAGGAACACCGGUGGCGAAGGCGGCUUUCUGGACAAAAACUGACGCUGAGGCGCGAAAGCUAGGGGAGCAAACAGG